GCGGCGUGCCUAAUACAUGCAAGUCGAGCGAAUGGAUUAAGAGCUUGCUCUUAUGAAGUUAGCGGCGGACGGGUGAGUAACACGUGGGUAACCUGCCCAUAAGACUGGGAUAUCCGGAAAACCGGGGCUAAUACCGGAUAACAUUUUGAACCGCAUGGUUCGAAAUUGAAGGGCGGCUUCGGCUGUCACUUAUGGAUGGACCCGCGUCGCAUUAGCUAGUUGGUGAGGUAACGGCUCCCCAAGGCAACGAUGCGUAGCCGACCUGAGAGGGUGAUCGGCCACACUGGGACUGAGACACGGCCCACACUCCUACGGGAGGCAGCAGUGGGAAAUCUUCCGCAAUGGACGAAAGUCUGACGGAGCAACGCCGCGUGAGUGAAGAAGGUUUUCGGGUCGUAAAACUCUGUUGUUAGGGAAGAACAAGUGCUAGUUGAAUAAGCUGGCACCUUGGCGGUACCUAACCAAAAAGCCACGGAUAACUACGUGCCAGCAGCCGCGGUAAUACGUAGGUGGCAAGCGUUAUCCGGAAUUAUUGGGCGUAGAGCGCGCGCAGGUGGUUUCUUAAGUCUGAUGUGAAAGCCCACGGCUCAACCGUGGAGGGUCAUUGGAAACUGGGAGACUUGAGUGCA
rnacentral:rRNA from 1 species